GUGCGGUCUUCUGCAUUGAAUGGAAUUGAUUCACUCUUAUCAAUUGUGCAGAUGCGUGGGGAUGUCCCAGUUGCAACAGUCGCAAUAAAUAAUGCAACAAAUGCGGGUUUGUUAGCAGUAAGGAUGUUGGGGGUUGGCAAUGCUGAUCUACUGGGAAGAAUGAGCCAGUACUUGAAAGACAUCAAGAACGAUGUCUUGACAAAAACUGAGAAGCA